rnacentral:rRNA from 1 species
AAAACCCAAAGGCGAAAUGAAAGUAAAUAAAGAAAUAUGAUUUUAUCAGUUUCUUUAUAGGGAAGAUGGAUAGCGUGUCAUUAAUAAUAGUAGCUUGCUAUUAUUAUUAUUGGCAAUAGCUGUCCCGCACUCCCGGGGCGCUUGUUUCUCGCUUUGCGAGUCACUGCGCACCUAGAGCGUACACGCUGAUACCCGAAAGAUGGUGAACUAUGCCUGGCCAGGACGAAGCCAGGGGAAACCCUGGUGGAGGUCCGCAGCGAUUCUGACGUGCAAAUCGAUCGUCGGAGCUGGGUAUAGGGGCGAAAGACCAAUCGAACCAUCUAGUAGCUGGUUCCCUCUGAAGUUUCCCUCAGGAUAGCUUGCGCUCAUUUGAUACGAGUCUCAUCCGGUAGAGCGAAUGAUUAGAGGCAUUGGGGUCGAAACGACCUCAACCUAUUCUCAAACUCCAAAUAGAUGAGAACCCCGGCUUUCUUAAAAAUGAAGCCGUGGGAUUCGGAUCAGAGUGCCAAGUGGGCCAAUUU